rnacentral:lncRNA from 1 species
GGAAAGUGAGUGUCAUUUAAUGGCAACUGGAAUUGUCGGAGACAGUAGCUUUAAUAAUGGAAACAAUGAGUUGUUAAUGUGAUGAUGGGUGAAGACAGAAAUAUUUACCUUCUCUUUAGAAACAAGAAACAAGCAUUAAGAUGUCAUCGCAAGUCACAACUUUGUUCAUACGGACAAAAAAACAUCUAGUUUCUAAGCAGUUCCAUUCCACAAAACAAAUGGUCCCAUUGAUCUUGCAGGUUCUAAAAUGGCAUUUUCUUCUAUCUUUUUCUAGUUUUCAUUUUUCAAUCCACACUUAUUGUACGUACCCUCCAUGUGACUAUACAGAAACAUUGAUGGUUACUUAUAGCUUCCUUGGCUCAAUAUAUUCAAGAAUAUUAUUUUUAGAGUGAUAUAAAAUCCUUCAUCAUUACCAACUCCAUUGAUAAGAAUUUCGGAUGUGCUUGAAAAAUAUGAAACUGGUAGACUUUACUCUUUUUAACAUGCAUUAUAAUACGAAAAGAGCUAAAAUAUAUUCUAUGCACCAAUAACUGCUGUUAAAUUUUGACUUAGAGUGCUAAACCUUCCAUUUAGAUUCUUCAUUUUGGUACACAUUAUAAAACAAUGUACUAGGGUUUGUAACCAUUCAUAUUGGUUAAGAGCAAACAAAUUAGUAGUAAUAUGCAAAAAGAUGAAAUCCUAAUUUCCAAGUAAUUACAAUUUGGCUUUAUUUGAUAAUUUAUUUUUAAAAUGUUAUUUAUAUAUCUUUUAUCCUUAAUUUCCCUUGAUGUUUAACCAUUGUUGCUAACUAAUCUUAAUUGGGCUUCUAUGACUAAUUAAUCAGCAACGUGAACCCUUCUUGCAAGCAAGUGCACCUGCUCCUGCUGUAAUUGAAGUUACAAGAGAAGACGGUCUUGCACCUAAGCUAGAUGCUUUGGCAUAACUAGAAGAAGCUCCAGCCCCUGAUG